CGCUCUGUGGCUUAGUGGUUAGUACGUUCGCCUCACACCCCCAGGGUUGGGGUUUGAUUCCCAACGUGGCCC